GCUUCUUCAUUCUCAGCAUAUGGUGACUUGCUAGCAGGCUCACCCCAGACUCAACCCAUUGCUCUUUUCGUUUUUGAUUUAUGGAUAACUGAUUGAUUUAUGGAUAACUGAAGUUCAGGGCACUUUGCUACAUUAAAAGCAUAAAGGGAAUAUUUCACUCCAUUCAUUUGGUAAGGCUAUUCUUUUUUUCAUAGGGAAAAAGGCUAUAACCCUUUGGUUGUUAUGGCUAGCUUACAUAAGCAUAGCAUCUAGUAGUUUUCUGAAGGUGUUCACUCCAUACAUUCCCAGGUGAGCCGCAGAGCCACCUUUGGAGUAUUAUACUUUGUCCUCAGGUGAUCCAGAGGCCUGGCCAAAGGAGACAGCUUACCCAUUGGUGAAAGGUCUAAACUGAGAUGAGUAAACGCCUAGGGUCCUCGUAGGGAGGCAUACAAACCAGAUUAAACUCUACGCUGUAGGCGACCACAGUGUGUUGGGAAAGUACCGGAUCUCAGGUCGGGAGCUUUGGGUUCGAGUCCUGAGUCUGUCGUUCCCUAGUUUUGCAGCCCUCCGCCACUAGCUCCUUUAGUAUAGAAGAAGAGUGGAAUCUCAGGUCUCUCGUGACGGCUUAAUGAGGCAGCGAUGCGAUGGUAGCUGACACAUUAUACGCCCCCACGAGGCACUCAGCAACAGGCUUUGGUGGUCCCUACGUGUCAGGCGUGUGAAGGUAAGUAAGACACCCUUGAGAAGAUGAGGGUAAGAGAGGAGAACAGAACGAAAUGGUGAAGUGGAGUCAGGUAUUAAACGACUGUCCGUUGGGGCAUUAUCUGAAAAUGAUACUGGUAUGGUGUCUGCUUUGGCUAUUUUCUAAUGUGGUAAGAAGAAGAGAAAAACUGUCUUCAGUGCUUACAUAGUACAGAAUACUCUUAUUUACAGUCUUUUUAUCAGUGUUCUAGACCUUGGCUGUCCUAAGAGAACUGUGUUAGGAAACCUUGGGCCUACUGAACCUUUCAAGGAAUGCCUUUUCUCUUGCCCCAACACCCCACAAUUUAAGGAAAAGGAGUGUUCCAUAAAAACUAAACAUAGGAGGAGACCUGUAUUCUCUUUUUCACGGAAGAGUUCAUUUCAUUCCUUUGCAGGCACACUGAGGAACAUGUUGAAGUAUGAAAACAGUGGCAGAUGAGAACACGGCAACAGCUGGCAUUGGGCUCAUGUUCUAGGAACUUCUGCUCCCUUCCACUCCUCUGCUGGGCCCAAUGCCAAGGGCAGCAGCGACCCCUCCCAGCACCUCUCUCCAGCACUCUCCAGCAGCC
ensembl:lncRNA